AACGAACGCUGGCGGCAUGCCUAACACAUGCAAGUCGAACGCCCUGGUUUCGGUCAGGGAGUGGCGCACGGGUGAGUAACGCGUGGGAACCUGCCCGGCAGUACGGGACAACCGCGGGAA
rnacentral:rRNA from 1 species